rnacentral:rRNA from 1 species
AUGGAGCGCGGGCGGGGCGGGAGGGACGGCCCCUUCGGCGGAUUCGGCCGCCUGGGGGGCGCCCCGAUGCCCGGCCUCUUCGGCGGGGGCAGGGACCCCUUCGACGACCCCUUCUUCACGCAGCCCUUCGGGGCCAGGAUGGGCGGCCCUGGAGGAAUGUUCGGGCCGAUGGGCGGCGGCCCCGGCAUGUUCGGCGCCUUCGGGCCCGGGGACGGGUUCCUUGAGCAAGCUCCCGCGAGGAGCGGUGCUGUCAUCACGGAGAUUGAUGAGGACGAAGAGGGGGGCGACGGGGAGCGCGGCGGCCGGGAGGCGAACCGCGGGGCAUAUGUUCAGGAGCCGGAUGAUGGGAAUGAUGGGAUGCAGGGGGGUCAGGUCCAGCUGCGGCGUGAUCCCAGCAGGGCGAACGGUGGCGGCCAGCCGCAGUCGCGUUCGUUCACCUAUCAGAGCUCCACGGUGACUUAUGGUGGGAUUAAUGGAGCCUAUUAUACCGCUUCCAAGACCCGGAGGAGUGGCAGCGAUGGGAUUACUGUCGAAGAAAGCAAGGAAGCAGACACUACGACUAAAGAGGCCACUCAUAGGAUCUCCAGGGGAAUUCAUGAUAAGGGACACUCGGUAACAAGGAAGCUGAAAUCAGACGGGAAGGUGGACAGUACACAGAUACUGCACAAUCUCAAUGAAGAUGAGUUACCUGGAUUUGAAGAAUCAUGGAAGGGCAAUGCUGGACAACACUUACCAGGCUGGAACCAAAAUGCUGGUAUAUCUAAUGGUGACAACUCUGGAAACCGUGGUACCAACGGUGCCAGGCAGCCUGCACAGAACUGGGCGCUCCCCGGAAUGCAGCAACAGCAUGAUCCAAGGAGGCACGACAACGGGCAGCCAAAGCCAAAGUCAUCGCGGAUCAUCCCAAUCUCCUGA